GCGACCCCAGGUCACGCGGGAUUACCCGCUGAGUUUAAGCAUAUC
rnacentral:rRNA from 1 species